rnacentral:rRNA from 1 species
CCUACGGGUGGCUGCAGUGAGGAAUAUUGGUCAAUGGGCGCGAGCCUGAACCAGCCAAGCCGCGUGAGGGAAGACGGUCCUAUGGAUUGUAAACCUCUUUUGUCGGGGAGCAAAAGACGCCACGCGUGGCGUUCCGAGAGUACCCGUAGAAAAAGCAUCGGCUAACCCCGUGCCAGCAGCCGCGGUAAUACGGAGGAUGCGAGCGUUAUCCGGAUUUAUUGGGUUUAAAGGGUGCGCAGGCGGAAGAUCAAGUCAGCGGUAAAAUUGAGAGGCUCAACCUCUUCGAGCCGUUGAAACUGGUUGUCUUGAGUGAGCGAGAGGUAUGCGGAAUGCGUGGUGUAGCGGUGAAAUGCAUAGAUAUCACGAAGAACUCCGAUUGCGAAGGCAGCAUGCCGGCGCUCAACUGACGCUCAUGCACGAAAGUGUGGGUAUCGAACAGGAGUAGAUACCCGUGUAGUC